UUGAGGGUAGCGAAGAGGCUAAACGUGGCGGACUGUAAAUACGCUCCUUCGAGGGGUUCGAAUCCUUCCCCUUCCA
rnacentral:tRNA from 1 species